rnacentral:rRNA from 1 species
GACGAACGCUGGCGGCGUGCUUAACACAUGCAAGUCGAACGAAGUGGCGAACGGGUGAGUAACGCGUAAUCAACCUGCCCUUCAGCCGAGGAUAACAGUUGGAAACGACUGCUCAUACCGCAUACUGAAGGAGGGGCCUGCGUGUGAUUGGGUAGUUGGGGGGGAAACGGCCCCCCAAGGCGAUGGUCAGUAGCCGGUCUGAGGAGAUGAACGGCCACAGUGGGACUGAGACACGGCCCAGACUCCUCCGGGAGGCAGCAGUGGGGAAUCUUCCGCAAUGGACGAAAGUCUUACGGAGCAACGCCGCGUUGGUGAUGACGGCCUGCGGGUUGCAAAGCUCUGUUAAUCGGGACGCGGUACCGGAAUAGAAAGCCACGGCUAACUACGUGCCAGCAGCCGCGGUAAUAC